UUAAUGAUUUAUCAUUUACUCAGACGACAUAACUAACAGUGUUUAAAAUAUCCUUCGGCGGGCACACCCACCCUGACAAGCAGGGUCAGUGGGAGGCAGAAGCCCCACGUCCCACCAAAGCAACAGUUUUAAGGUACACAUAGGGUUGGAGGUCUACCCCAUAGGGGCAUUACUCAGUAAUGAUCCUUCCGCAGGUUCACCUACGGAAA
rnacentral:misc_RNA from 1 species